CCUACGGGAGGCAGCAGUGAGGAAUAUUGGUCAAUGGCCGGAAGGCUGAACCAGCCAUGCCGCGUGAACGUCAGUGCCCUAUGGGCGUUAAACUUCUUUUGUGCGGGAGCAAUAAUGGUCACGUGUGGCCAGACGAGAGUACCGUACGAAUAAGCAUCGGCUAACUCCGUGCCAGCAGCCGCGGUAAUACGGGGGAUGCAAGCGUUAUCCGGAUUUAUUGGGUUUAAAGGGUGCGUAGGCUGUGAGGUAAGUCAGCGGUGAAAUGCCCCCGCUCAACGGGGUGAAGUGCCAUUGAUACUGCCUGGCUGGAAUGCGGAUGCCGUGGGAGGAAUGUGUGGUGUAGCGGUGAAAUGCAUAGAUAUCACACAGAACACCGAUUGCGAAGGCAUCUCACGAAUCCGCGAUUGACGCUGAUGCACGAAAGCGUGGGUAUCAAACAGGAUUAGAUACCCCAGUAGUC
rnacentral:rRNA from 1 species